rnacentral:rRNA from 1 species
CCUACGUGUGGCAGCAGUGGGGAAUAUUGCACAAUGGGGGAAACCCUGAUGCAGCGACGCCGCGUGGGUGAAGAAGUAAUUCGGUAUGUAAAGCCCUAUCAGCAGGGAAGAAAAUGACGGUACCUGAGUAAUAAGCCCCGGCUAACUACGUGCCAGCAGCCGCGGUAAUACGUAGGGGGCAAGCGUUAUCCGGAUUUACUGGGUGUAAAGGGCGCGUAGGCGGGAGUGCAAGUCUGGAGUGAAAGGCGGGGGCUCAACCCUCGGACUGCUUUGGAAACUGUAAGGCUGGAGUGUGGGAGAGGUAAGUGGAAUUCCUGGUGGAGCGGUGAAAUGCGUAGAUAUUAGGAGGAACACGAGUGGCGAAGGCGGCUUACUGGACUGUAACUGACGUUGAGGCUCGAAAGCGUGGGGAGCAAACAGGAUUAGAUACCCGGGUAGUC